AGAGACAUUACUGCUUUGUUCCUAAUCUAAGGAACAAGGCCUUCGACCUUUUGCCCUUAAGUAUAACAUUAGUUGUGGGUUUUUUUUUGGUGUGUGUUCACGUGCUCUUUAACAAGUUGAGGAAGUCCUCCUCAAUUCCUAUUUUUCUGAGAGUUUUUAAAUAUGUAUGGGUGUUGAAUUCUGUCAAAUGGUUUUUCUGCAUCAACUGCUAUAAUCACGUGGUUUCUCUUCUUUACCCUAUUAAAUGGUGGAGUACACUGAUUUGUUUUUGAAUACAGAGCAAGCCUUGCAUCCCUGGAAUAAACCCCAUGUGGCCAUGAUGUAUAUAUACUUUAUAAACGUACACAUACACAAUUUCGUAUAUUGUUGAAAUUCUAUUUUCUGGUAUUUUGUUGAGGAGUUUUGCUUAUAUAUUUAUAAAGGCUAUUGGUUUGUACUUUUCCUUUUUUUGUAUUGUCUUUGGUUUUAGUGUCAGAGUAAAAUCAGUUUUAUAAAAUAAAUAGGGAAGUGUUACAUCUAUUUUCUGCAAAAGAUGGUCUAGAAUUGGUGUUCAUUCCUUUUUUAAACGUCUGGUAGAAUUCCGCAGUGAAACCAUUUGGACCUAGAGGUUUCGUUUUUGGGGAGUUUUAAAACUAUGAAUUCAAUUUCCGUUGUAGUUUAUAGGGCUAUUCAAUUUUUUUCUUUUUUGUGAGACGUAGUUUCACUCUUGUUGCCCAGGCUGGAGUGCAAUGGUGCCUCUCGGCUCACUGCAACCUCUGCCUCCUGGGUUCAAGCGAUUUUCCUGCCUUAGCCUCCCGAGUAGCCGGGAUUACAGGCUCCUGCUACCACGCCCAGCUACUUUUUGUAUUUUCAGUAGAGACAGGGUUUCACCAUGUUGCCCAGGCUCAAAUUAACUUUUUCAUACUGGCUGGGUGUAGCAAUUUGUGUUUUUGGAUAAACUGGUCUAUUAGUCAUCUAAGUUGUCACAUUUAUGUGGGUAAAGCUAUUCACAGCAUUCCCUAAUUACCUCUUUUAUGUCUGGAGAAUCUGUAGUGAUAGCUUCUGUUUUGUUACUGAUAAUUGGUAACUUGCACCUUUUCUGUCAGUUUUGCUAGAGGUCUGCCAAUUUUACUGAAGUUUUUAAAAAAUCCAGCUCUUUGUUUCACUGAUUUUUGUUUUCAACUUAAUUAAUCUCUGCUCUUAUCUUUAAUAUUCCCUCCUUUCUAUUUAUUUUGGGUUUUUCUUUUUUAUGGUUUAUUUUGCUUUGGGUUCUUGAAGUAGGAGUUAAAAUUAUUUUGAGACUUCUUUUCUUUUGUUUUUUUAAAUUAUACUUUAAGUUCUGGGAUACAUGUGCAGAUUUGUUACAUAGGUAUAUACGUGCCAUGGUGGUUUGCUGCACCCAUCAAUCCAUCAUCCACAUUAG
rnacentral:lncRNA from 10 species